rnacentral:lncRNA from 1 species
AAAAGAUUCCAGAAGAGAGUGGGAAAAAAAGAGAAUAAAAAUAAAUGUGAAAUGCGCAAGUGGACCUGAUACUAAUAUUUGCAGGUGAGAUGGCGGGUAAAUUUAGCCUGUUC